AAAGGGGGUCACGGACUACAGGUUGAGAACCGAUGCUCUAGCUGUUCUGACUCUCUGAAUUCAAUCUCUCUUCUCCACAUGACAGACUGUUGAUCUGAGUGGACCGGGACAUAGGGACAACUGUUUGAAGGUCAAUGAUGGGCGCCCUAACUGCUAUAAGCAAAUCUCCUUUUGGGAACGAUCACUUGGGAAAUGAAUUCUCACACAGAAUCUGACACAUCAGAGCAAAGGGACAUGGCACAGAAAAAAAAAAAAAAAAAAAAACCAAAAAACCAAAAAACCAAAAAACCUCCUCUGAGGCGAUGCGACAAGUCCUGCCAAGUUUUCCAGGGAGAAGUUAGUAUCGAAUACGAAAGCGUCAAGGAUUGUGAGAUGCUGUAAUCUGGCUGCCCCUGCCUCCCUUUUGGUGGUGUCCUCUGAGGGCCAGUCUGUGAUGCUACAGGGUGGCCACAUAGCUAAUGGGAUGUGCUCAGUGCUGGCUUUUGCAUGUCCCCAGCUGGGGAGAAGAGUAAGAGGAAAGGAUCCAGGGACUGUCUUUUCCAGCUACCAACAAACCUGUAGGCCUCAGAUGGUCCUAAUGCACUGAUGCGGUGGAGUAAGAACGAAGCAGAUAAGACAAGUCCAAACAAGUCCAGAUGGCGGCACAUGCGGGAGGACAUAUGUCCUUAAAGUUGGACUAAGACUUGGAGAUCAACUCAAGAGCAUCGUUCUAGUGACCAUUGUUAGGACUCCAAUGUCCUCCCCACAGCAGGUGGGACCUACCUGAGACAGACAGAAAAGACCUCAAAAGCCGAGGCUGAGAACAACCGAAUGCACUGAAUAAAGACCCUCUCUGUGGACUAGGCUUGUC
rnacentral:lncRNA from 1 species